rnacentral:rRNA from 1 species
AACGCGAAGAACCUUACCUGGGCUUGAACCGCUACUGACCAAGGGUAGAAAUAUCCUCUUCCCGCAAGGGACAGUAGUAGAGGUGCUGCAUGGCUGUCGUCAGCUCGUGCCGUGAGGUGUUGGGUUAAGUCCCGCAACGAGCGCAACCCUUACUCGUAGUUGCUACCCGCAAGGGAGAACUCUACGAGGACUGCUCCGGAUAACGGAGAGGAAGGUGGGGAUGACGUCAAGUCAGCACGGCCUUUAUGUCCAGGGCUACACACGUGUUACAAUGCAUGGUACAGACUGUUGCGAACCCGCGAGGGGGAGCUAAUCGGCCAAAGCCAUGCUCAGUUCGGAUUGCAGUCUGCAACUCGACUGCAUGAAGCUGGAAUCGCUAGUAAUGGCGUAUCAGAUCGACGCCGUGAAUACGUUCCCGGGCCUUGUA